AUUGAACGCUGGCGGCAGGCUUAACACAUGCAAGUCGAGCGGGGUGAUGGUGCUUGCACUAUCACUUAGCGGCGGACGGGUGAGUAAUGCUUAGGAAUCUGCCUAUUAGUGGGGGACAACAUCUCGAAAGGGAUGCUAAUACCGCAUACGUCCUACGGGAGAGAGCAGGGGAUCACUUGUGAUUAAAACUGAGGUGGUAUAAGAUGGGCAUGCGUCUGAUUAGGUAGUUGGUGAGGUAAUGGCUCACCAAGCCGACGAUCAGUAGGGGUUCGGAAAGGAUUCCCCCCCACACUGGUACUGAGACACGGACCAGACUCCUACGGGAGGCAGCAGUGAGGAAUAUUGGUCAAUGGCCGGAAGGCUGAACCAGCCAUCCCGCGUGCAGGAUGACGGCCCUAUGGGUUGUAAACUGCUUUUGUACCUGAAGAAACCUGGUUACGAGUAACCAGUUGCCGGUAAGGUAUGAAUAAGCAUCGGCUAACUCCGUGCCAGCCGCCGCCGUAA
rnacentral:rRNA from 1 species